rnacentral:tRNA from 2 species
AGGGGAUAUGGUUUAGUGGUAUAACGCUUCUUUAGCAUAGAAGAGGUCCGGCGUUCGAUUCGCCGUUUCUCCA